rnacentral:rRNA from 1 species
UUCUGGCUCAGGACGAACGCUGGCGGCGUGCUUCAUACAUGCAAGUCGAACGAGAAUCUUACUUCGGUAAGAGGAAAGUGGCGGACGGGUGAGUAAUAUGUAGAGAAUCUGCCCUUAAGCGGGGGACAACAGUUGGAAACGACUGCUAAUACCCCAUAUGAGCGUACCUGAAAUGGUAUUCUUGAAAACUCCGGUGCUUAAGGAUGAGUCUGCAUCUGAUUAGCUAGUUGGGGGUGUAAUGGACCACCAAGGCGACGAUCAGUAGCUGGUUUGAGAGGAUGAUCAGCCACAAUGGGACUGAGACACGGCCCAUACUCCUACGGGAGGCAGCAGUAGGGAAUUUUGCGCAAUGGGCGAAAGCCUGAACCGCAGCAACGCCGCGUGAACGAGAAGCCCUUCGGGGUGUAAAGUUCUGUCAGUAGGGACGAACAAUGACUGUACCUACAGAGGAAGCACCGGCUAACUCCGUGCCAGCAGCCGC